rnacentral:rRNA from 1 species
UACAGAGGUCUCAAGCGUUGUUCGGAUUCAUUGGGCGUAAAGGGUGCGUAGGUGGCGGGGUUAGUCAGGUGUGAAAUCUCGGGGCUCAACCCCGAAACUGCACUUGAUACUGCCUUGCUAGAGUACUGGAGAGGAGAUCGGAAUUUACGGUGUAGCAGUGAAAUGCGUAGAUAUCGUAAGGAAGACCAGUGGCGAAGGCGAAUCUCUGGACAGUUACUGACACUGAGGCACGAAGGCCAGGGGAGCAAACGGG